ACGGGAGGCAGCAGUGGGGAAUAUUGGGCAAUGGGCGCAAGCCUGACCCAGCAACGCCGCGUGAAGGAAGAAGGCUUUCGGGUUGUAAACUUCUUUUGUGAGGGACGAGAAGAAGACGGUACCUCAUGAAUAAGCCACGGCUAACUACGUGCCAGCAGCCGCGGUAAUACGUAGGUGGCGAGCGUUAUCCGGAAUUACUGGGUGUAAAGGGUGUGUAGGCGGAGAGGCAAGUCAGGCGUGAAAUGCGUGGGCUCAACCCACGAAUUGCGCUUGAAACUGUUUCCCUUGAGAGUGGGAGAGGUUAACGGAAUUCCUGGUGUAGUAGUGAAAUGCGUAGAUAUCAGGAGGAACACCGGUGGCGAAGGCGGUUAACUGGACCACAACUGACGCUGAGACACGAAAGCGUGGGGAGCAAACAGGAUUAGAUACCCUGGUA
rnacentral:rRNA from 1 species